GACGAACGCUGGCGGCGUGCCUAAUACAUGCAAGUGGGACGCAAGGGAACACACUGUGCUUGCACACCGUGUUUUCUUGAGUCGCGAACGGGUGAGUAACGCGUAGGUAACCUGCCUAUUAGCGGGGGAUAACUAUUGGAAACGAUAGCUAAUACCGCAUAAUAUUAAUUAUUGCAUGAUAAUUGAUUGAAAGAUGCAAGCGCAUCACUAGUAGAUGGACCUGCGUUGUAUUAGCUAGUUGGUAAGGUAAGAGCUUACCAAGGCGACGAUACAUAGCCGACCUGAGAGGGUGAUCGGCCACACUGGGACUGAGACACGGCCCAGACUCCUACGGGAGGCAGCAGUAGGGAAUCUUCGGCAAUGGACGAAAGUCUGACCGAGCAACGCCGCGUGAGUGAAGAAGGUUUUCGGAUCGUAAAGCUCUGUUGUAAGUCAAGAACGUGUGUGAGAGUGGAAAGUUCACACAAGGGACGGUAGCUACCAGAAA
rnacentral:rRNA from 1 species